rnacentral:rRNA from 1 species
GAUGAACGCUGGCGGCAGGCCUAACACAUGCAAGUCGAGCGGCAGCGGGUAGAAAGCUUGCUUUCUAUGCCGGCGAGCGGCGGACGGGCGAGGAAUACCUAGGAAUCUGUCCAUUGGUGGGGAAUAACUAUCCGAAAGGAUAGCUAAUACCGCAUACGCCCUACGGGGGAAAGGGGGGGAUCUUCGGACCUCUCGCUAAUGGGGGAGCCUAGGUCGGAUUAGCUAGUUGGUGGGGUAAAGGCCUACCAAGGCGACGAUCCGUAGUUGGUCUGAGAGGAGGAACAGCCACACUGGGACUGAGACACGGCCCAGACUCCUACGGGAGGCAGCAGUGGGGAAUAUUGCACAAUGGGCGAAAGCCUGAUGCAGCCAUGCCGCGUGUGUGAAGAAGGCCUUCGGGUUGUAAAGCACUUUAGGCGAGGAGGAAAGGUUAACGAUUAAUACUCGUUAGCUGUGACGUUACUCGCAGAAUAAGCACCGGCUAACUCCGUGCCAGCAGCCGCGGUAA